rnacentral:rRNA from 1 species
CCUACGGGAGGCAGCAGUGGGGGAUAUUGCACAAUGGGGGAAACCCUGAUGCAGCGACGCCGCGUGGGUGAAGAAGCGCCUCGGCGCGUAAAGCCCUGUCAGCAGGGAAGAACAUGACGGUACCUGAUGAAGAAGCCCCGGCUAACUCCGUGACAGAAGCCACGGUAAUACGCAGGGGGCAAGCGUUAUCCGGAUUUACUGGGGGUAAAGGUGGCGCAGACGGCGUUGCAAACCAGGAGUGAAAGCCCGGGGCUCAACCCCGGGACGGAUCUGGAAACUGGGUGGCUAGAGUGAAGGAGGGGCAGGCGGAAUUCCUGGUGUAGCGGUGAAAUGCGUAGAUAUCAGGAGGAACACCAGUGGCGAAGGCGGCCUGCUGGACUGCAACUGACGUUGAGGCCCGAAAGCGUGGGGAGCAAACAGGAUUAGAUACCCCUGUAGUC